rnacentral:rRNA from 1 species
GUGUCAGGAUGAACGCUGGCGGCGUGCCUAACACAUGCAAGUCGAACGAAGCACUUUCUCGGAGAUUCGUCGAAGAGGAAUUGACUUAGUGGCGGACGGGUGAGUAAUGUAUGAGCAACCUGCCUUUCAGUGGGGGACAACAGUUGGAAACGACUGCUAAUACCGCAUAAUGUAUCGAGGGGGCAUCCCCAUGAUACCAAAGGAGUAAUUCGCUGAAAGAUGGGCUCAUAUCUGAUUAGUUAGUUGGUGGGGUAACGGCUCACCAAGACUGCGAUCAGUAGCCGGACUGAGAGGUUGAACGGCCACAUUGGGACUGAGAUACGGCCCAGACUCCUACGGGAGGCAGCAGUGGGGAAUAUUGGGCAAUGGGCGAAAGCCUGAACCCCAGCAACGCCGCGUGAAGGAAGAAGGUCUUCGGAUUGUAAACUUCUUUUAUGAGGGACGAAGGACGUGACGGUACCUCAUGAAUAAGCCACGGCUAACUACGUGCCAGCAGCCGC